AUAUGAUUAGUUUAUCUGCUGAUAGUUCAAACUUUCUCUUUUCUUCCCUCCAAUUUAGACCACGAAGACUUAAACAUAAAUGGAAAUAUUUGGGACACCAUUGUGAUUGAAAGCAUCCAUUUUUAUAGAGACAUUUUAAUAAAAAGGAACUUGAAAUUGCCUAUGAUUUGAUGAUUUCAAAAACUAAUCAGGAAUUACACAAAGAAAGAUCACUCAGAUGACAAAAGCAAUGGUCUCUGAUUCAUCAGGAGGCCUGAGUUGGAAGCAAGACUGAUACUAAAUCAUCGUGUGACCUUUGCUGCCAAAUACAGAUGGAGGGACCCAGUGAAUCCUACCUUCCGAGUCAUGAAAAAUUCAUACCAUGUGACUUUCUCUGGCCCUUAUCACUGCUAUCUAUGGGAGAAUAUCUUCUUGAAGUUCCAGAACACUGAUGAGCAUGGAGGAGUUCCAUAGGCAUGCAAAGGAAUUUGUCAAUAAAAAUACCGACAUCUAGGAUGUUUAUUGUCUA
rnacentral:lncRNA from 1 species